UAGCAUGAGUUUGUUGGGCCAACAUUGGCUGUAGGUUGUAAGGUUGGCGUUGGCUUAACAACGUUGGGCCAACAUUGGACCAAUGUACACUUGACACAUCUAACUUGAGUGUCAAUGUUAGUUGGGAACGCAACGUUGGGCCAACAUCAGGCCAAUGUACACUUGACACAUCUAACUUGAGUGUCAAUGUUAGUUGGGAACACAGCGUUGGGCCAACAUUGGGCCAAUGUACACUUGACACAACUAACUUGAGUGUCAAUGUUAGUUGGGAACGCAACGUUGGGCCAACAUUGGGCCAAUGUACACUUGACACAACUAACUUGAGUGUCAAUGUUAGUUGGGAACGCAACGUUGGGCCAACAUUGGGCCAAUGUACACUUGACACAUCUAACUUGAGUGUCAAUGUUAGUUGGGAACACAGCGUUGGGCCAACAUUGGGCCAAUGUACACUUGACACAACUAACUUGAGUGUCAAUGUUAGUUGGGAACGCAACGUUGGGCCAACAUUGGGCCAAUGUACACUUGACACAUCUAACUUAAAUUGAGUGUCAAUGUUAGUUGGGAACGCAACGUUGGGCAAACAUUAGGCCAAUGCACACUUGACACAUCUAAUUUGAGUGUCAAUGUUACUUGGGAACGCAACUUCGGGCCAACAUUUUGGGUCAAUGUUGUAAAUUUACAAUCAAUGUCAGUUGAGACAUGAUAUCGGCCCAACAAUGAUCCAACGUCUAUUAAUUACAUUUUUUAUUUCCUGAUUAGUUUGUUGGUCGAUUACAUUUAUAAAAACACGCAUACCUUUUCAACAGUGGUUAUAUGUUUAUACAUCUCUUUUUAUUAUUCUUUUUACAAUGUUUUGAGAUAGAAUCAUUACUAAAAGCUAAAUAUACUGUCAAUAGUUACAUGUACAUACUCUUUAUAAAAGGAAACAUGUUUAAAAAUGCAAGUUUAAUUUUUAUUCUUUUAAAGAAGCUUAAAAUUGUGAAAGCCCAAAAUUAAAAUGAAGAUAUUCUGCAAAUGUAUUCAGCUGCAUAAUAUUGUUCUAAAGUGUAGAAUUUAAGUUGCCGAUCCUGAGAUAAGAGAAUAGCACAUUCACUGACCAAGCAAUUAAGACAGAGUUUUCUCAGCGUGAGACUGGCCAGUUUCCAUGGUUAUUGUGAUAUCUGAUCUGUUGGGAUGGCCAAAUCUGCUCCCAUUUAACAUUUUGUAGGACAUAUCUAAACAGUUUGCUCAAUGUAUAGCCACAGUCAAGUGAAUAAAACAGAAAUGGAAUAUGUUCAAGCUGCCCCCUUCCAGUCUGACGAACUUUCAACUGACUUCGAAAUUUGAUGUUUUUGAAAACCGGUGUUUUAUUUGGAUGACUAUGAACAGUUGAAGAUAUAAAUGAAGCAAAACAUACAGAAGAGAGUGAAUUAUUACUUUAUUCUAUUUUGGAGUAACUAAGUUUAAAAAGUGUGGAUAGAGAUUUACCCUGUGAACAUAUGCUAGCUAGAUAACGAACGGCCGUCAUUUAAUUUCAAGGAUUAUUUUUAUCAUGGUUUGUGCACUCUGGAUUCAAAAUAAAUCCAUCAUAUAAAUUGU